GCUUGUUAUUGACAAUGUUUGGUAGUUAUUUCUGUUGUUGUUCAGUUUUUCCGUAACCACUAGGCUUACCUAGUAUUAGAGAAUAGGUUCCUGGCUAUUUACUUCCGAUAUUCAUACGGGCGAGAUUUGAGUCGUCAGAUCCUGGCUAUUUACUUCCGAUAUUCAUACAUGUUUUCCAUUAGUACCAUCUGCCUUAUAUUCCAUUAAGCGGUUAAGAUUGAAGAAUAUAAUUAUUUGUAUGCACAAUAACACGAUGAAAAGGAGCGGAAAUGAGACAACGAUGUUCCACUAUCAAAGAGGAACAUAAAACAAAUGAAAACGAUGACUCGUAUUCAUCUAUAUAUACCAUGAAAAAUCAAGCAAAUUUUUUACACUCCCUAUGUAUAUAUAACAUAAACUCCUGAAUAUAAGCAGAAGCAACAAAGCAGGUUCAAUAUAUUAACCGGACUAGCUACUCAGAGGGGUUAAUCUUUUUCUUGUCAUUCUUGAAAGAGGACACCACAGCUUUCACCACCUUUUCAGCAGCCAUGGCCUUCACUGACUUUUUGUCCUUCUUUGGGAACACGCUUCCUUUCUUAGCUGUACUGCUUUCACCGAUAUAUCCUUUCCCUUUUCCAUUAUUAUUGUCCAUCUCUUCAGAUCUCUUAUAGAGUUUAAGUAUAUAUAAAAAAGUGUAUGAAAUAUAUUGCGUUGUUGCUUAACUUGUG
rnacentral:lncRNA from 1 species